rnacentral:rRNA from 1 species
GACGAACGCUGGCGGCGUGCCUAAUACAUGCCAGUUGAGCGCUGAAGGUUGGUACUUGUACCAACUGGAUGAGCAGCGAACGGGUGAGUAACGCGUGGGGAAUCUGCCUUUGAGCGGGGGACAACAUUUGGAAACGAAUGCUAAUACCGCAUAAAAACUUUAAACACAAGUUUUAAGUUUGAAAGAUGCAAUUGCAUCACUCAAAGAUGAUCCCGCGUUGUAUUAGCUAGUUGGUGAGGUAAAGGCUCACCAAGGCGAUGAUACAUAGCCGACCUGAGAGGGUGAUCGGCCACAUUGGGACUGAGACACGGCCCAAACUCCUACGGGAGGCAGCAGUAGGGAAUCUUCGGCAAUGGACGAAAGUCUGACCGAGCAACGCCGCGUGAGUGAAGAAGGUUUUCGGAUCGUAAAACUCUGUUGGUAGAGAAGAACGUUGGUGAGAGUGGAAAGCUCAUCAAGGGACGGUAACUACCCAGAAAGGGACGGCUAACUACGG